AGGCCUUCCUUUGACUGCCAGCUAAGGUUGGUUGAUGCUUGGCUGCUAUUUCUCAUUUCCUCGACUCUCCUUUCACCGACUUCCUUCGCUCUCUCUCAGAAACCUAGAGAGAGAAAUCUUCGACACCAGUGAUCGGUGCUCUCAGAUUAUUAAUCGAAAUUCAGCAAUCACCGAUCAUCCAUUCGAUGAUGAUUAUGGGGCUUCGGUUCUUCUUUGGGCUACCACAGCUCGUUGCUGAAAAUGUUCUGGCUUUCAAUGAGGGUUUCUGGAUUCGGCUUGCUGCCAGAACUGAUACCUGCAAAUCAGAGGAUGAUAAAGCAUGGUUUCUUCACUAUUAUCAUUAUUUUUCCGUUGAAUACUAAGUUGUGGAUUCUUAUUUCCAUGAAAAAUGACCCGGAUUUGUUGGCAUGCAGAAAGAUUAUGAAGAAUUGGCAGCAACGCUAAUGAGUACAGUAGACCGUCUUGUUCACAAAACCAAUGAAAAAAUUGAGUCAGCUACCGUUGUUUUAAAAUCAAUCCUCAAACAUGUGCCCUGAAGCUCUCAGUCUGAUGGAACAGGCAUGU